rnacentral:SRP_RNA from 1 species
GCUGGGUGUGUUGGCACACACCUGUAGUCCCAGCUACUCAGGAGGCUGAGGCAGGAGGUUCGCUUGAGCCCAGGAGCUUGAGGCUACAGCGAGUUGUGAUCAUGCCACUGCACUCCAGCCUGGGCAACAGAGCAAGAUCCUGUUUCAG